GUAGGUGAACCUGCGGAAGGAUCAUUUUUGUAGUUUAAUAGACUUGAGGGGUUACCCUCGAGCGUUGACUGAACACGUCCUGGUUCUGAACUAGGGUUGAACAUGGCAUUGUCUGACUGUAAUUAAUAUAAAAAACUUUCAACAACGGAUCUCUAGGCUCUU
rnacentral:misc_RNA from 1 species